rnacentral:rRNA from 1 species
CCCUAUGGGGCGCACCACAUUCCAGUCAAUGCGGACAUCCAUUGGAUCGCUCUUGUCCUUGAGUAGCUGCAGAUAGCGCCGAAGGUCGUCGUAGGACAUGAUGCUGCGGUUGGAGAAGAUGAUCCUGGCCCGGCCGUCGCCGUCCUCGGGGUUGCGUUUGUCACGACAGAGCCAGGACACGCGCUCCAGGAGGUAGCGCGUGGCAUACCGAUACAGCAGAAAUUUUUCCGACUGGAAUUUUUCUGGUUCCCGUAUUUCCGGCUUGUAAAUCAACACGGAAACAGUCCGGAUUUUUUCUUCUGCGAUCCGGCGCACCAAGGGCACUCUUUGUUCGUGCUUAAGGGUUCUGAAAUGCAAUUCCUGUCUUGGAGUUUUACCAAGGAAUUGGCGGGAGAGC